GAUGAACGCUGGCGGCGUGCUUAACACAUGCAAGUCGAACGGAAAGGCUCCUGCUUGCAGGGGUACUCGAGUGGCGAACGGGUGAGUAACACGUGGGUGAUCUGCCCUGCACUUCGGGAUAAGCCUGGGAAACUGGGUCUAAUACCGGAUAGGACGAUGGUUUGGAUGCCAUUGUGGAAAGUUUUUGCGGUGUGGGAUGAGCUCGCGGCCUAUCAGCUUGUUGGUGGGGUAAUGGCCUACCAAGGCGUCGGCGGGUAGCCGGCCUGUGAGGGUGUACGGCCACAUUGGGACUGAGAUACGGCGCAGACUCCUACGGGAGGCAGCAGUGGGGAAUAUUGCACAAUGGGCGCAAGCCUGAUGCAGCGACGCCGCGUGGGGGAUGACGGCCUUCGGGUUGUAAACUCCUUUCGCUAGGGACGAAGCGCAAGUGACGGUACCUGGAGAAGAAGCACCGGCUAACUACGUG
rnacentral:rRNA from 1 species